rnacentral:lncRNA from 1 species
GUCUUGGGAUAGUUGGAGUUAAGCGUCCUUGGGUUUGAAUAGUACUGGGCUGGGUGACCUCCCGGGAAGUCCAAACUCAGGAGCUUACAUUUGGUAUCGGAGCGGUCUCGGGUCCGACUCUGUUGAUUGGCUAGGGGAAUCGCACCACAUGUUGAUUGACAUCUGGCUGGUCCAGUUUGCUCCCGUUGGGCUCGACCCGAGGGGUAGGGUGUCAAGAGAGCGAGGCUCUCGGGAGAGCUGCGGCUCUCAGCUUCCGUUCACGAGGGCGUGAACUUGCAAGGAAGCGUGGUGGAUUGUAAGCAACCAAAGGGAACGACUCGAGAGACGAUCCAUGGGGUUCAAAUAUAGAGGGAAAGGGCCCAUGAACAAGAGUGCACCCCCUUUUCUAAUCGGUUAAGGGUCUUGGGAUAUUUGGGGUUAAGCGUCCUUGGGUUUGAAUAGUACUGGGCUGGGUGACCUCCCGGGAAGUCCAAACUCAGGAGCUUACAUUUGGUAUCAGAGGGGUCUCGGGUCCGACUCUGUUGGUUGGCUAGGGGAAUCACACCACAUGUUGAUUGACAUCUGGCUGGUCCAGUUUGCUCGGGGAAUCACACCACAUGUUGAUUGACAUCUGGCUGGUCCAGUUUGCUCCCGCUGGGCUCGACCCGAGGGGUAGGGUGUCAAGAGAGCGGGGCUCUCAAGAGAGCUGCGGCUCUCAGCUUCCGUUCACGAGGGCGUGAACUUGCAGGGAAGCGUGGUGGAUUGUAAGCAACCAAAGGGAACGACUCGAGAGACGAUCC